GAUGAACGCUGGCGGCGUGCCUAAUACAUGCAAGUCGAGCGAACAGACGAGGAGCAUGCUUCUCUGACGUUAGCGGCGGACGGGUGAGUAACACGUGGAUAACCUACCUAUAAGACUGGGAUAACUUCGGGAAACCGGAGCUAAUACCGGAUAAUAUAUUGAACCGCAUGGUUCAAUAGUGAAAGACGGUUUUGCUGUCACUUAUAGAUGGAUCCGCGCCGCAUUAGCUAGUUGGUAAGGUAACGGCUUACCAAGGCGACGAUGCGUAGCCGACCUGAGAGGGUGAUCGGCCACACUGGAACUGAGACACGGUCCAGACUCCUACGGGAGGCAGCAGUAGGGAAUCUUCCGCAAUGGGCGAAAGCCUGACGGAGCAACGCCGCGUGAGUGAUGAAGGUCUUCGGAUCGUAAAACUCUGUUAUUAGGGAAGAACAAAUGUGUAAGUAACUAUGCACGUCUUGACGGUACCUAAUCAGAAAGCCACGGCUAACUACGUG
rnacentral:rRNA from 1 species